AACAAGGCGUACCUGCGGACCUGCGGAAGGAUCAUUACACAAUACAAUAUGAAGGCUGUCCGCAGCUGGAGUAUUUUAUUACCCUUGUCUUUUGCGCACUUGUUGUUUCCUGGGCGGGUUCGCUCGCCACCAGGACCACCAAAUAAACCUUUUUUAUGCAGUUGCAAUCAGCGUCAGUACAAACAAUGUAAAUCAUUUACAACUUUUAACAACGGAUCU
rnacentral:misc_RNA from 1 species